rnacentral:rRNA from 1 species
CCUACGGGUGGCAGCAGUGGGGAAUAUUGGACAAUGGGGGCAACCCUGAUCCAGCCAUGCCGCGUGUGUGAAGAAGGCCCUCGGGUUGUAAAGCACUUUCAGUGAGGAAGAACGCCUGGUGGUUAAUACCCAUCAGGAAAGACAUCACUCACAGAAGAAGCACCGGCUAACUCCGUGCCAGCAGCCGCGGUAAUACGGAGGGUGCGAGCGUUAAUCGGAAUUACUGGGCGUAAAGCGCGCGUUGGUGGCUUGAUAAGCCGGUUGUGAAAGCCCCGGGCUCAACCUGGGAACGGCAUCCGGAACUGUCAAGCUAGAGUGCAGGAGAGGAAGGUAGAAUUCCCGGUGUAGCGGUGAAAUGCGUAGAGAUCGGGAGGAAUACCAGUGGCGAAGGCGGCCUUCUGGACUGACACUGACACUGAGGUGCGAAAGCGUGGGUAGCAAACAGGAUUAGAUACCCUUGUAGUC